CCAGAGAUGCUCAAAACAUUGAAAUUCGGAAUAGAAGAAUCUAGCAGCAAUUCAAUCAAAAACGAUAUAAAUCUAAAAAAGAAAGUGGGAAGAAAUAUCGACAAGGUUUUUAGUAGAGAUUUCCCCUACCGAAGACCAUCUCCAAAUAAAUGAAGCACCCACUGCAAAGAUAAUCCGUGAGAUGACUGCCAAAUUGAAGGCUCUGGAGACGGAAAACGCGUAUUUACGUAGAAGGAAUGAUGAGCUAAAAAUGAACUGGCAGCGAAGAGAAAAUCGAGGAAAAUUUGGAAAAUUUGUUGGACGUCAAUUCCGUUUAUUUUUA
rnacentral:lncRNA from 1 species